CUAUAUUUAAAUAUUUGUGAUGUUCUUUGUGAUGUUCUUUUAGUUACUUGUUUCUUCAAGCUAUCAUGUGCAACUUUGUCUCUGCUAGAAGUGUUUCCAUUGUCCAAAACCAAAAAUAUAACUUCUCGCUAUUCACAAUUGUAACUAAUGUAAUUAUGGAAGAGACAAACAUACUUAUACUGUUUUGAUAAAGGACAAAUAGACGUUCUUUGCAUUUUCCGCAAUUUUGAUUCCCUACUUAUGAUUAUCUUUACUUCUGAUAUUGUGGGUGAAAUAAGUUAAUGAAGAAUCGUGCUAGCUCUUUGAAGAUCAUGAAAGGAGGAAACCUGGGCCGCACUCUCUUGUGAAGCUUUAUUCAUGGUAUCGUUAUGGAUACAUUGUGGACUCUGUGAUGGUGAAUUUGUGUCUUGUACAGCAGUUUGCUGGGUCCUCCCACUCUUUUAAAGCUUUCAAUAAAGCCUUCUUAGCUGUGGAAGCAGCAACCGGUCUAUUGGAAAGUUCCUGCAUAAGUUGUCGGAAUCAAAAUCAGAAUCGAAAUCUUGUUCUGAGAAAGGGUAUGUUGCAGGGGAAUCUGGCCCAGUUAAUUAAUCGGGUUUUAGAGAACACGGCCCAAGCCAAAAUCGGUUUCAGACUACUAUCCGGCCCUAGCUGAAUGGUUCGAUUUUUCAACGAAAGAUGGGUUUGAAAACAGGUACCAAAUUGUCUUGAUAAGGUGGGGAUGGUUCUGCCCCUUUCCCCAGGAAAUUGCUCUGAUUGACCGAGAUCUCGUGUUCUUUCAAGAGUGAUAUGACACCAUGCUAGUCGGACGGGAAGUAAGGCUUAGGUAGGGCGCCUAGUCGGAAAAGCCGUAAUCAGGUUACCCGAGAUAGAAUAGGGCUCAGUGCAAUAGUCAAUCUAGUAAAUAUAAUAAGAGAAGAAUUAGCGUAAGAAAAGCCUAGCCUUUCCCUUACCGACGAGUGAGUACCCUUUUUUCUCUUUUUAGUUGAGUUGGUGUUCAAUGUGCCCCGUGGGUACAAACAAGAUUGAAAGGGUCAACAAUCCCUUACUUUAGUAAGCAACAUCAGUUCCCUUACUUGUUAAAGUAAGCAAGUCAACUCUCUUACUUGUUCUUGUAAGCUAUUUCUUUCCCGUACUUUCACGAGAAAGCAAGCUAUCGACCUUAUCUUCGUUAGUUUUUCAAGAUCAGUGAACCUACUCUAGUCUUUUAUCUGCGGAGAGAUGGUCGUUUACAUGCUUACUUACUCUGGUCGGCCACCAUAGUACUAAGAUUGAAAGCCUGCUAGGCAGUCUACACAGAAGGGAAGUCACCAAACGUGGCACCCCCGAAGAGCGGGGAUUUCGUGACAUUUAUGAUUGGCUGUCUUGUAUUUCUAAUAAGUUGUUUAAUAGUUGGCGUGUUGAAUCGUAUACAUAAUAUGAUGGGUUGGUUUAGAUUGAUCCUAACUCCCGGCUAUUCACGGAACGUGAGAAGCAGAUGAUUAAUCAUCUGUUUCCGGAAGAAAUCGAAGAAUUUCUUGGGAUUCCUACAAGAUCCGUCUUUAAAUUAGCACUACAGUACAUGGUGCAGCUGUAAAAAAACUAUACCUUCAGAAUCAAGUCUGGGAAAAUUGUGUUAACUGAACCAAAUAAACACACUUGGUUAGGUCAGGAUGAUCUAUUAGACAUUAUUUCUGUAAUGAUGCUGACCUUGUUAAAUGGUAGGAUAAAGAACCUUAUAUUCUUUCAUCUGGCCUUUGGAAGUGAAAGUUGGUGAAUGGUGUUUCUGCUGAAGCCAGGAGUGGAAGCAGUUGCAGUGUCUUUAGAUGGUGUCCAAAUGUGAAUGAUGUCAGCUGAAGGAGCAGAAGAUGGAAGUAUAUAAUCUACUUGUAGUAAAAAUGGAGAAAAAAAAAAUUAAGACCAGGGCCAAACUCCAAAUCUAUGCUUAGCAGGAGCUUAGGAGCUUCUCAGGAGUAUUUUGGUGUAUACACAAGCUUCAGCGAGUUACAGAGAAAUGUGGUGUACCCACAAAAUGUACUUGCAGCUGGAUGGAUGCAUGUCAAUGAAUAGGGUCAAAUGUGUGGUCCUUACAUUAAUGGUUUCGUCCUCUGAUGCGAAUGGACCAACGAAUAUGUACUCGGGAGUUACCAAAGAUUCAGGAGGAAAUUGAGUCGAGUUGCCAACAACUUGCCCUACAGUAACUCAGGGGCUGAACACGGAACUCAUUCCUUGAACCAGCAGAUGGCGACUGCUGGCUUUGCCGGAACACCUGCUUCGUUGGGUGAAAUAGGUUAAUGAAGAAUCGUGCUAGCUCUUUGAAGAUCAUGAAGGGAGGAAACCUGGGCCGCACUCUCUUGUGGAGCUUUAUUCAUGGUAUCGUUAUGGAUACAUUGUGGACUCUGUGAUGGUGAAUUUGUGUCUUGUACAGCAGUUUGCUGGGUCUUUAAAUUAGCACUACAGUACAUGGUGCAGCUGUAAAAGACUAUACCUUCAGAAUCAAGUCUGGGAAAAUUGUGUUAACUGAACCAAAUAAACACACUUGGUUAGGUCAGGAUGAUCUAUUAGACGUUAUUUCUGUAAUGAUGCUGACCUUGUUAAAUGGUAGGAUAAAGAACCUUAUAUUCUUUCAUCUGGCCUUUGGAAGUGAAAGUUGGUGAAAGGUGUUUCUGCUGAAGCCAGGAGUGGAAGCAGUUGCAGUGUCUUUAGAUGGUGUCCAAAUGUGAAUGAUGUCAGCUGAAGGGCAGAAGAUGGAAGUGUAUAAUCUACUUGUAGUUAAAAUGGAGAAAAAAAAUUAAGACCAGGGCCAUACUCCAAAUCUAUGCUUAGCAGGAGCUUCUCAGUUUGGGAUGCUUUGUCGGGAAACUGAGAGCAGAAAGGGAUGAAUCACUGCUCUGCGUAGGGCUAGCGCUGAAUGAUAAGUUGCAGCUUGUAUUGGCCAAGCACGAAUCUGUUGCUUCCGGAACUUCUGUUCAAGUAGAAAAACCAAAAUCCGAACCACAUCAAUUGAUGCUCUGCUUAUUGAGACCGGAGGCCGCAAACAAUCAGACCAAGGAUCUACAUCAAAUGCUAGGCUAGGGACACAGUUGCUUCUUCCUGCUCCUCCUUCAGCUAGCAUUCCAUCAACAACAAUAAAAGUUGAUCUCCUGAGUGGAGAUGGAUGAUUCAGCUCACCUACAACUGAGAAUAUCCUUGCCCUUGUUUCUGUUGGUGGAGAACCUCAGCCUGCAAGUCCUGUUUCACACCACAAUGCCCAUGCUCUUGUUGACAUGGUUUCAUCACCCAGCAACUCACAAUCUCCACAUUCAUCUGGGCAGACACAUGCUUCAUUCCCUCAAUUUCGACAACAGCUCUAACACGGCCUGGAACGAUUUGUUGAAGUAUGGGGAAAAGUAAUGGUGAUCAAAUGGACAAGGAGAUGAUGAACAAUUUGUUUAAGUACGUAAUAGGCAACCCUUUUCCUUGUAAGCUUACUAUUAUGGUUGCGAGCCCAUCCCAAAUCCUUGAAUAUACGAAGGGGACAAACAACAUUACACGAUUGUGGCUGCUCUCAUUCUCUGUUUAUUAGAUAGUUUAAUUAAUCAAAUGAAAAAUAUAUUAUUUUCUUUGAUUAUAUGCAUUCACCUCAAUACAUCAUGAUACAACACAUGUUUUCUUCUUGA